ACUUUUCGGUACUCGCGAAUGCAUCUCAGAUUANAUGUUUGAUCCUGGCUCAGAGUGAACGCUGGCGGUAGGCCUAACACAUGCAAGUCGAACGGCAGCACAGGAGAGCUUGCUCUCUGGGUGGCGAGUGGCGGACGGGUGAGGGAUACAUCGGAAUCUACUCUGUCGUGGGGGAUAACGUAGGGAAACUUACGCUAAUACCGCAUACGACCUACGGGUGAAAGCAGGGGGAUCUUCGGACCUUGCGCGAUUGAAUGAGCCGAUGUCGGAUUAGCUAGUUGGCGGGGUAAAGGCCCACCAAGGCGACGAUCCGUAGCUGGUCUGAGAGGAUGAUCAGCCACACUGGAACUGAGACACGGUCCAGACUCCUACGGGAGGCAGCAGUGGGGAAUAUUGGACAAUGGGCGCAAGCCUGAUCCAGCCAUACCGCGUGGGUGAAGAAGGCCUUCGGGUUGUAAAGCCCUUUUGUUGGGAAAGAAAUCCAGCUG
rnacentral:rRNA from 1 species